AUGGAGACUCGACUCGGAUACUUCUCCGAUGACUUAAACCUGAACAAUGAGGACUCAAGACUUGACCCAGACUCAGGUGUUGAUGCUCAGACUCUGACUGAAUCUGAACCAGUGGUUAAAAGUCCUGGAGGAUCCCACAGACUGACCUGUACAGCUUCUGGGUUCACAUUCAGUAGCUUCCAUAUGGCCUGGGUCAGACAGGCUCCUGGAAAAGGACUGGAGUGGAUUGCCUGGAUUCACAGCAGCAGUGGCAGUAGCACCUACUACCCUGAGUCAGUGAAAGGCCGGUUCACCAUCUCCAGAGACGACAGCAGACAGCAGGUGUAUCUGCAGAUGAACAGUCUGCAGACUGAGGACUCUGCAGUUUAUUUCUGUGCACGAGAGCCACAGUGA